rnacentral:rRNA from 1 species
UACGUAGGGGGCAAGCGUUGUCCGGAAUCAUUGGGCGUAAAGAGCGUGUAGGCGGCCAAACAGGUCCGUUGUGAAAACUGGAGGCUCAACUUCCAGACGUCGACGGAAACCGUGUGGCUAGAGUCCGGAAGAGGAGAGUGGAAUUCCUGGUGUAGCGGUGAAAUGCGCAGAUAUCAGGAAGAACACCAAUGGCGAAGGCAGCUCUCUGGGACGGUACUGACGCUGAGACGCGAAAGCGUGGGGAGCGAACAGG